GAAAUCUGAAAAGAAAGAAUUGAUUCUAUCAAAUAGCAUAAAAAUUAGAUAACCGAGCCUCAUUUAAAUAUUUUAUUCUUUAAACUGAAAUUAGUGAAUUUAUACUCAAUAACAAUAUUAUGAAAAAUUCAAUUUUAUUAAUCCAAUUAAUAAGGAUGUAACUUUCCUUAUUUUAAUAACUAGGUUUUAAUGUGAAAAUUUUCUUUCUUUUUAAAAACAAAAAAAGUUGGAUUCAUGAAUAGUCUUCAUACCAGAUAAUCCUUUGGCUUAGGCUCUAAAUGUUUGUUUCUAUAUAUGAUCUCAACAUACCAUAGUGAACAUAUAUUCUCUGAAUCCUAUCAGCAAAAUGAUACUUUAGAUAUCCCUAAUAGCUCACCUGGACAUCGUAUAGAUUUUUUUUUUAAUUUCUUAUAAGCCAAAAUUUUAUUAAGAAUGCAAAACAGAGAACAAAAUUAAACCGGCAAAUACAGAACUCAAGAUCAACAGAACCUUGAACAUGGUAUAGAUUAUCUUAAGCUAAUCGAAACACUGUCACUUUGAGAAUA
rnacentral:misc_RNA from 1 species